rnacentral:lncRNA from 1 species
UGAUAGCAUACAUACUGGCAUGACUUUUUGAGCAGCCAUUCAUAACCUAUUUGUCACAAAGCAUAAUUUCAUGAUAGAACUCUGAUUCACAUGCGGUUUUAUUUUUCCAGCAAUAAAACAUUUGAAUAACUCCUUCACGAAGGCUGGCUACAUUUUCACAAUAUCCAAUCCCAAACUAGAGCUUCAGGAAAAGGGAUCCAGGAAAUGAUUAUUCCACCAAGUAAAAUGUAAGUAUAUCCUGACAAAAUGCUCACUUUUAUUGGCAGAUAAAGAGAAAUUUUCUUUAUAGGGAUGAUUGUAAUUCAGAGGCUUGCCUUAUAGAUUCUAUUUCUUACCACUUCAUUUCUUUUCCUUCAUUGUUUCUUUUCCAUUCAUCUCCUCGGGCACGUUUUUUUCUACUUGUUAGCUGUAUCCCCUGGGCGAGCAGUUUUUUCACUCUGUAAUCAAAUACUAUAAUGUGGAGAAAAUCUAAAAAUGACUCCACAGUGUUAUUGUACAAAGUAAAGAUAGUGAAUGUGUGGGUACACAUGGAUCCCAAACUCAGCUGUAUAAGAAAUACAACUUUCCUUAUUUUUCUACAACUUUGCUUCAUUUCUACGUGAAGUUCUAAUUUGGCUUAGUUAUGAAGGUGUAAUCUCAGUCCAAUCAGGGUGUCCUCAUCUAAACCUCAGAGAAGACACAGCAUCUAUCUAUUUUCCCACCUUCAACCCUGUCUGAGCGUUCCACAGUUGUCCCACCCAGAGGUGCUGGACGAACGAACAAGUAGUGAAUACUCCCCAGUUCCCUUCCCAGUGUCCCCACCACCAUGUCAGUUUUCUUGGCUUCUCUGAUUCCCUUCUUAAAUUUGAAGAAUCUUGUCUAGUCUGGAGCAAAGUGUUUCAAGCUUUUUAUCUGAUCUUUGAAAUCUUUGAUUUAUGACCAGAACCUGAGAUUUGGUCCUCAAAAGCUAAGAAAUUUGUUUCCUCUCUUAUCUUCAUUUUGAUGGUUUUCCCUUCCCUAAAGCUUUACAGAAGACCUAGCUGCUUAAUGGGGAAAAUACAGGAAAUACCAGAGACAACAUAUGGGAAUAUAUCUCACAAGAAUUUCUCAACACAGAUGUAAAGCACCAAGAAGGCUUGGCACAUGUCAAGAAGCCUUCAAAGGUGACUGCUAUCCUUAUACAAAAUUUUAUGGUCAAGCUCCAUGCUUCUUGUCUCCAUGUCCUGCAAGUUGUUCAACUUUUUCAUAAUUCAGUUUCCCCUUCUGUAAAAUGGGAAUUAUAAUCAUAUGUAUCUCACAAGGUCAUAUGUUUAUAAAGUACUCACUGGAAUUACACAGUUAUCAUCACCACCAGUACACACUUGUAGCUGUCAAAGCCAUUGGUCUAAAGCCAUUGUAUUGAUAUGGUUGUCAUAGUGCAUCAUAAAUAAAGAAGAAGGUGAACAUAUCACAUCUAGCAUUUCACAGCUAAAGAAGGAAGUGCUGGUCCCAAGUAUGAGGCUAGGCUCAAUUUCCUAUAAAUGGAAACUUCUGAUAAUAUCUAAUAGAAUAAUCCUGAAGGUGAGUUAAAAAGGAAUUAGCUAAUAUAAGUCAAGCUAGCUCUGAGGUGCUGGCAUGAACAGAUUCUUAGAGAGAUAUAGUCUGAAUUUGAAGACAGGUUCACCCUUCCAGUCCAGCGGGAAGGAUGAGAAACAAAGUUAAGAAGGUCUGGCCAAGUUAGAGAGUUAGGGUGAGGAAGUACCUGGGUGACCAUUGCUAAAAGUUGCUGAAGAGAACACGCACAGGACCUCUCCUGAGACAUGAGGCCACUUUGGACUUUUGCUAAGCAAAGUACUUCUUUGGAGAGCAAGGACAGUAAGGGGGCACUGAGGGAGAGAUGGUGGUAGAUUGUUCCCCAGUCUACAUGAAUGUCAUUCUCCAGCCUAUCAAACUGUUGAACAAGAAAAUGAGAAUGUGAAGACCUUCACCCUUAUAUCUGCCCCUCUUUCUACCCAGAGCCAGCCUGCUCAAUGUCCUCUCAACCCACAAUCAGUCAGAAUGAAUGAACCCAAAUGAGACAGUGGAAAGAGCCACAUCAGAAGCCAGGAGGCCAGUACUCCAGACCCAGUCAGUGACUAACUAGUUCAUGGCCCUAGACAAAUCUCUUCAGCUUUCUGGACCUUAGCACCCUCAGUGAGGAAGAAGGACUGGAUAAGAGCAGCUUGGUACAGUUUCACAGGUGGUCGAGUGAGGAGCAUGGAAGCCAGAGGAACAGCAAGAUGAGUUCUGUUUUUGCCCUUUUUCAUAAGUGUGAGUUUAUUUCAUCUCUCUAAGUUCCAGUUCCCUUGUGCAUAAAGAUGGAGAUAACUAUAGUGCUUUCUUUGCAUGAUUAUUUUGAAGCAAAUUCAAGAGUGUAUAGGACAUGUUUAGCACUACUGUGAAACACUAUAAAUACUCAACUGUUGCCAAUAUCACUAUAGCAAUUAUUGAGGGAGGGAUUAUCAGGUCAGGGGCUACUAGGUGGGUUGAGUGGGAGACUCAAGACUGCAGAUACUUCCUCAUCAAGAAGAGCAGCUUUGUUUCUCUCAUUUGAGAGAAUAGAUGAUAGAUAGAUAGAUAGAUAGAUAGAUAGAUAGAUAAGAUAGAUAGAUUGUGUGCCUAGCGUGCAUGAGCCUCUGACCUCUCUGGGCCCAGAACCACAAACUUGAUUAGUCAAUCACUGGGCCAGGCCAACAGCUGGCAAGCUUUUUCUGUAAAGAAUCAUAUAGCAAAUAUUUUGCAUUUUGUGGACCACAUGUGGUCUCCAUUGCAUAUUUUUCUGAUUUAAUUUAGAGUAAGAGUGGGGAUUCAGUUUAGAUAAAGAUCUUUUAGGCUAGGAUAAUAAGAAGAAGAAUAGAGUACGUAUCAAGAUGUAAUACUCUCAUCUGUUUAUACUGAAGAUCUCAAUAAUAGAACACAGUGAAGAUUUAUUUCUGGUAAAACAGUUGGAAGUUGAGGGUCCAGUCUACAUAGCCUUCUGGGGAUCUACAAUCCUUUCAUCUAGUGAGUCCUUCAUCUCCUAGUGCUCUGCAGACACCCUCAGGAUGGAAGGAAAAUAGAACUGGGUCAAAUUCAAGAACCCCACAAAAAUACAGAAACUAUGGUCUGGGAGGAUGAGGCAAGUUUGAGCACAUCCUGUGUAACUUAAUGACGUAGUGGCCCCCUGUCUUAAAACUUACAAAAGAAAAAUCAAGGCAACUAGUGUAGUUCAGUGCAAAGGCCUGAGAUUCAAUUCCCCAAUACUGAGAAAAGAAAAGAAAGGAAAAGGAAAGAAAAGGAAAGGAAAAGGAAAAGAAAUGUAGAAACUAUUCUUAGCUUAGGGGCUGUCCAGUGACAGAUGUGGGCUGAUUCUGGCUGCCUGCCUGCAGCUUGCCCACUCCUGGAUAAAGCCAUCUCUUAUAUUCCUUGUGAAGAUGAACAAACUUCUCCAUGAUAAAUCUUUUUCUUUCUCCAUCAAAGUAGCCUAGUUUCCCUCAUAACAUCUAUUAUCUUGUAUGUAAUAAUAUUUCUCAUAUUUAUAACAGUUGUCAGAUUAAGUGUUUUUGUUAAAUUUUAUGUGUAAUAUUACACAGAGUCCUUUUGUGGACAGUUUUCAUGAAGGUGGUAGGUUUCCUGGGGCUGCUGGGCUGCAGUACCACCCACUGGGUGCCUGCAAACAACCGAAAUUUAUUCUCUCACAGUCUGGAGGCCACAAGUCUGAGAUCAGUGUCAACAGCAUUGAUUCCUUCAGAGAGAGAGAAGCUGAUCUGUGCCUUCCUCCAGUCUCUGGUGAGGGCCAGCAGUCCUCAGGGUUCCUCGGCUGGUAGAAAGAGCACUCCAUGCUCUGGGUCCACCUUUACACAGUGUCCUUCCUCUGCUCAUUUCUUUACAAGACCAGCUCUUUCUUGAAUUAGGACCCGCUCUAAUGACCACAUCUUAACUUAAUCUCCAAAAGCCCUAUUUCCAUACAAUGUCACAUUCACAGGUACUGGAGGUUAGGACUUCAACCUAUCUUUUGGGAGGACACAACUCUGCCUAUGACAAACAGUGGACAGCAUAUGGGUGCCCACUUCAUAUCUUAAUUACAAGUGAUGAGAACUGUUGGGCCACCCCAUGUUGCAGCUGAGAUGAGUAAGAGGGAUGAGGUACCUGAGUGCUUACUUUUUACCAUUCAGUGUAAAUUACUGAGAGAAUAAAGCCAUUAGUGCUGCUAACCUGAAGAAUGCAGAAUUUUCUUUUUAAAGUAUUUUUUUAUGGACAUGGAACACUGAGCUAGAAAACAUUGCACAUUCUGUACCCUUCUUCUAUUUUCAAUUUAUAAAUACUGUAUUCAAAAUACCGGAAUAGUGUGGCUUGUGGUUACUAACAAAAUUAAAAAUAAAAGCAAAAAGCCCCAUAACAUCCAUAGUGCCCUGUGAGGGAGAUGCAGCCUGCUGCCCUGGAUGAGAAAUGGAGGAUCUGAUGAAUUUUCACCCCUAUCUGCAGGGGUCAGGAUUUGAAAACCACUACCAGCUGGUUGUAAUUCUGUCCUAUUUUGAAACAGAUGACUUAGACUGCUAAGCCAUCACUGGGACUCCAAUUUAUUUUUCCCUACUUGGUCUAGGUUUCAGAAACCCAGUUUGCAAAGUAAAGAAAAGGAGAAAAUUAUACUUUUGGUGAUCUCACCCCAGGUCUGUCUGUAGAAAACCUACCAGUAUUGCAGAAUUUGUGCAAGUGAAUCGAACCGUGCUAUAUCUUCUCCAGUAUCCGAAAGCAGGUCUUCUAUAUCUCUUUCCCAAUGUUCUUCAGUACUUUUUGUUGCUUCGGUGACACUUGUUAUAGUUUGCCAUGUGUUUGAGUCUUAUCUCUGCUCCUGAAAUGCAAGCUCUUUGAAUCUUAGUCUUAAGACUCAAGGCAGAGAGGAAGAAGCAAAUGGAGAGAAGAAGACAAGGGGGAGAGAGAAACUUGAGAUGCAGAAAAUGAGAUAAGAAACACAGGCGUGAAUUCGUUAGGGCAAAGUGGGCAAACUGAAAUGGUCUCUGCUCUCCGUAUCUUCUUCACUUUCCUGGAAGCCCACUAAGCCUGUUAGGGGUUCUACUGGAAUUCAACAUCAGACCUUAAUGAAUAUAGUUAUGGACAACUCUUUUCAAAGCUGAGGCCACAACCAAACCACUUAAUGCCUCAAGCUUCUCAUCUAUAUGAUAUAAUUAAUGAUUGAAUUCACUGUAUACAAUUGUAGAAAUCAAAUAUGAUUAAUGGAUGUGAAGUACUUAUCAUAUAGCCAGCCUGGCUCAGUAUUCCCAAAUGUCCCAAAUUAAUCCUUAGGAAUUGCGACAAACUUGGGUUUGUAGUCUUAAGAAUCUGUAUAUUUACUAAGCAUAAUUAAGAAAGUCUCAUUUUCAAAGAAAUUUGGGAAACAAUCCUAUAAUGAUAUUGAUAGCUCAAUAAAAAGUAACUAUGUUGUUGUAGUAUGUUUAUCAUCAACAUUAUCAUUGUUAUUGGCAAUUCUGCUUAAAGAUGAUGGCAUGGGAAUGAUUCAGCAAUAUUGGCAGAUUACAUAGUGUCUUGAAUCUGGUAAAUUUGACUCUGGUCUUAUAGGAAGUCGGUUUUACUGUUUGUAGAACCAGUAGACUCCUAACCAACUCAAAUGCAGUUUGAGUUUGAGCUUGAAGCUCAAUGCAAUUAUUUCAAUUUUAAUCUACUUAGAUGAAGAGAAACCUCCAUUUUGAAUAAGAACUUGGACUUUACUUAAUAAAUUGGUGGGUAUAAAUCUAAUUUGCUUCAUUCCCAUUUUUGUUCAUCUUGGGAUGAAUAAAAAUUUAUGAAGUGCUAAUUUCUACAUUUUGUUUGAAGUAUCUCCCAAGAAAGUAAAGAAUCACAAGGUUCCUUUACUUAAAGAGAAGGUAAAAAUAUCAUUAUCCAAUAUUUUCACAUAGAAGCUUGGGCCCUUUUUGUCAACUCUACUGUUUAUCCAUACCUCUGAGACAUAAAAGAUCAACAGUUUUUAUAAACUCCUCUCUGUGCUUGACUGCUUCAAUUAUCCUCAAAACUCCCUAUAACUGAUGGUUUCUUCUCAGUAAAGUUGGCUUAUCAGCAUUCUGAGUUCUGAAUUUUUAGAUCAGAAUUCCACAGUAGAAAAGUAACAGAAAUGAGAGGUUGUGGGUUCAGGGCAGAUAAAGUUCUUUCUUCUGCUGGUAUUAAGGCUUGGUUUCCCUUAAAACCUGUAUUCUCCUUGUAAUUCCUUUAUAUUUCUAAUUCUACCAUCCACUGAGUAUCCAGACACAGCCGUGUGGAGAACAAGUGGUACCCGUAGUAUAUUUACAGCCACAAUAAAAGUAUGGAUUUUCUUCUUUGACUUUUAUUUACUUUUUACUUUGUAUCAGUACAUGUUUACAGUACAUAAUGAUUACAUUCAUUGUGAGGAGUUGGUACAUGUACGUAACACAUCUUAAUUGUUUUUCAUCCUCUUCUCCUUCCCUGACUCCUCCCUUCCUCCCUCCCUCUCUUGGUUUCCCUUCCCUUUUGCAAAAAGAUCUAUCUCCUUGUUUCCUAUUAUCUAUUUGUUUGUGUGGCUCUUUAAUUUACUUACACUUUGGAUUUCUCAUAUAAGAGAAAUUGUGCUAUUUCAGCUUGUGUGUCUGAUUUAUUUCAAUUAACAUUAUGGUCUUAGGAUGCAUCCAUUUUCCCACAAAUUACUCAUAUUUAUCCUUCUUUAUGGCACAAUAGUACUCCAUCAUGUGUAAAUACCACAUUUUCUUUUUCCAUUCAUCUGUUGAUGGACAUUUUUCAAGGUACAACUUUUGGUUUUGUUACUCUCCACCCAGCCUAGGGACAAUAUCUUCAAUUUAGAUAAUGUAUCAUGGGUGGAAGAUACUGGUGAUAGCUAAUGAUAGCUAACAUCCUUCCUUCUUUGGGUAGAGAGUAUCCUAGGUGUCUUGCAACUGUUACCUAUUCAGUUCUUCUAACAACACGUGAGGUAGAUCUUCUUGGUAUUUUCUUUACUUUAUAGCUUUGGAAACUAAAACACAAGGAAGCUAGGUAGAUUUUUCAAGGUCCCAAGUCAUCACUGGGGCCAGAAUUCCACCCCAAAAAGGAACAAGAUCUUAAGCCUACAUUCAACAGCUUUCAUGACAAAAGCUGAACAUCUCUAAGCAUAUUUAAAUGAGAAGCAUAGAUAAGCAUGAUUUUGCACUCAAUUAUUGUUUUUUCUAUCAAAAAUAGAACUAUUAAGUUUAUUUAAACAGCAAAGCAUAACACAGCCAUUUCCAUGGCAUUAUAUUUUUAAAGAUUUAGAGCAAAAUCUAAAAAUAUUAAGCUCCUAGAUACAAGUAAGCACCAUUUUUUAUCAAUUCUACAAACAAGAGAUCUUAACCCUUUCAUUCUGUUCUUCAUGCUGGGCAUUUUAUUCACUUCUUUAUUUAAUAAAAUUUUCUAUGCUUUUGCUCUUGGGAUUUUCUUUUACCUCAUGAAAAUUUAUUGUAUUACAUUUCUAAAUAUAUCAGAAGUCUUGCCACCUUUAUUGUCACUUUUUUGUGUGGUACUAGGGAUGAAACACAUGGCCUCAUGCAUAGUAGGCAAGCACUGAGCUAUAGCCCUAGCUCUUUAUUGUCACUUUCUUAUCAAUAUCUUCUUAAAUACAGAAUUCUCUGUCAAAUUUUCCUUUCACAAGAAAAAAAUAAUCACAGCACAUUAUUCUCUUAUGUAUUCUCAUUAUUUUCCUUUCUUUCAGAAUAAUUUCCUGGCCAGUUCUGUUUGACGCCAUAUGGCUCUAUGUUAUUUGAUUUAUAAAGCUCACAUGUUACCUGUUUGUUAUUUUCUGUGGUGCUGGCUAGAGAGUUCACUGUAUGGAGGUGAGGGCAAUACUUGCCUUUCCUCUUUAUCUUCUAGGGGAAGUACUGUUUCACCAUUCAUUACUAUGUUAGUCGUAGGUAUAUUUUUAAUUGGUGUAUUUUAAUAGGUGUAUUUUUUAAUGCUCUUUAUUUCUUCUAUUCCUAGUUUGCUGAGAGUAUAUGUCCAGAAUGGGCAUUGAACUUUGUCAAGUGGUUUUUCUGUAUCAACUGAUAUCAUCAUGUGGUUUUCCUUUUUUGAGGUCUGGCACUGUGCAAUUUCUGGCUCUUCCCAACGUCAAAAUGACUAUGAAAGGUAAACAUUUUGUAUGGAUUGAGGACAUCAAGGCAACUAUGCAACUAAAGACACUCUCGAGAGUCUUCCACAACAUCUUUAGAAGGUAGAAAGAACUGUGGAAUAAGUGCAUUUUUGACUGUAGGGCAAGUAUUUUGAGGGAGAUUAUUGAAAACGUGGCUUUUACUGUAAUAAACUUUUAAAAAUUUAAAUAUUCAUUGUUUCUUUCUAUAGCAACUCAUAUUUUCAUUUAGGUCUGUUAUUUUGUUUUCAAAAGCCCCAUUUUUAGUUUUUCUAUUCCUUUCCUUUUAGUUUCCUUAUUCUCUUUUGUGUCUUUUUUUAAACAUUACUUAACAUUUCAUUUUAACUUAUCUAUUAUGUUUUUCAAUUUAUCUCACCUCUCUCUUAUUAUCACAUACUGUUUGCUGUAUCUAAUUUUAUAAUGGAAUGCAAAAACUUUACUGCCAUAUAGGUCCCUUUAUGUUGUAACUCUCUUAUAUAUUACAUCUAUAUACCGUGACUAUUCCAUCACUUAACAUUUUUUAUUUUAGCCAUAAAAGUAUUUUAACAGCUCAAGAGCAGAAUAAUCUAUUAUAUUUAAUUAGAUAUUUUCUUUCUGUUACUCUUCCUUUAUUUUUGGUGUUCCAAGAUUUAUUUAUAGUUUCCCUUUCCUUCAGAUGGAAUGGCUGCAUUUGGAGCAGCCAUCAACAUUCUUAAUUUUUCUUUGUGUGGAAAUGCCCUUGUUUCAGGUUUAUGCUGGAUCUAGACUUCUCAGAUGAUGUCUUUUCUUUCAGCACAUUGAAAGUGUCCACUGCCUUCUGGGUUCCACAGUUUCUGAUGAUGAAUAUAUAUUCAUAUUCAUUUGAAUCAUUGUUCCAUUCAAAAUUAUAUAUCAUUUUCCCCUGGCUGUUUUUAAGAUUUUCCUUUUGUUUUCAAUUUCCAAAAAUUUGACUGUGAUACUUCUGAGUAUGUAUUUCCUUAAUUAAUCCUGUUUGAGGAACUUUUUUCAUUUCUAGAUUUAUGUCUUUUUCAAAAUUUGGAAAGGUUUUGGCCAUGGAUUCUUCCAUAUUUUUUUGUCCAUUAUUCUUUUUCUCCUUUUCUCCUCAGAUUCCAACCACAUAAACAUUAGUCUUUUUGUUAUAUUCCCCAGGUCCUUAGGGGCUGUUGUCCUUUUCAAUCUUUUUCUCUCUUGCUUAGAUUGGAUAGUUUCUAUGAUCUAUCUAUAUAUUUUCUGUUGCUUUCUAUGUAAAAAUGUCUAUACAUUUUAUGCAAUUCUGAUAAUCAUAAGUGAUAAACUGAUUGUAAAAUUUGUACAAAAAGGUAAAAUAAAAGCAAAUGUACCAGAAUAACCAAACAAUAUUGGAAAGAGUGAAGACAAAAACUAAAGUUGGAGAAAUCACAUUAUCUAAUUUCAAAAUUUUUAUCAUAAAUCUAUAGUAAUAAGGCUGUGGUAUUGGAGAAAAGAUAGACACAAUAAUCAAUGCCAAAAAAUAAAAAAAUCCAGAAAUAAAGCUACACAAAUACAGGCCAUUGAUUUCCUACAAAACUGUGAAUGUAGUUCAAUGGAGAAAGGACACUCUUAAGUGCAAAUGGUUGUGAAACAAUUUUGCAUCCAUGAAUAAGAAAAUAAGCCUUUACCUAAAACCCACACUUUGUGCACAAAUGGACUAUGUGUCAUAAAUCUAAAUGUAAAAUUAUAAAACUUUGAAGGAAACAUAUAAAAGUUUUCAUUACCUUUAAUUAGUUGAAGAAUUUUUAUAUACAACACAAAAUUAUUAUCCAUAAAAGAAAGAAAUCAUAUAAUGCAAGUCAUCAAAAUGUAAAAUUUUUGUUCUGAGAAAGACAUCAAGAGAUUUAAAAAAUAGCAGCUCUAAACUUGAAGAAAAUAUUUUAAAUUACAUAUGUGACAAAGAAUUUCUAUUCCAACUGCAUUAAUAACUCUUAAAGCUCAGUAAUAGGGUUAGGGUGUACCUCAGUAGUAGAGCACAUGCUUGGUAUGAGUGAAGCCCCUGGGUCCAAUCACCAGUAACAAAAUAAAACAAAACAAUCCCCAUUAGUAAAUAAAUGCAAAAAACAACCAAAAAAACCCCAUACAAGCCAAAUACAAAAAUAGGGAAAAUAUUUGAAUACACAUUUCAAUAAAUGGAAGACACAGAAGAAAGAAAUAAGCAAUAUGAAAAAGUAUUCAGCAUUAUUACCAUUGGAGAAAGUCCAAGUUGAAAACAAAUUACUUGGACUCAGCUAGUAUGCCUUAUUAGAAUUUUACUUAUGGAGAAUUGUAAUUAUCGAAAAGUAUUGAAAUACUGAACAUGGACAUUCAGAAGACUUGUUAAUCAAGACAGAGAAGACAGACUCAAAGAUGAUAACUUCAAGGUGUAGAGGUGGAGGGUGUUCUCAGCUUCUUUUACUCCAGAGAAUAAACUCAGAGGGUCAGAGGGGGACUCAAGACAAAAACCAUAAACACCUAAACUCAGCUAUGCAAGAGGUCUCAGUAUCAGAGUACUCUUCCAACGAGCACAGAUUUUAUUGUAAAACUUUGUCACCUUCUGAAGCCAGGUUUGCUGGAGUGUGUGUUAGGGCCUCUGCAGAUAAGUAAAUUGAGCUACAGUAGUAGGAGCCAAUAAACACAGCCAUCUGCAGGAGGGGACCGAUGGAGGAAUGAAAACCUCAGUCAGUUCUGACAUAUCUACUGAUGGCAGAAUAUUGAGGCAAAAGAAUCUUUAAAAAGGAAAAGUAGAUGGGAGAGAGAGUUCAUGGUCUGUAUGUAAAGACAUUUUUGGAUAGUCUCCAUUUUCUUUCCUAUCUGCAUUGGGAAAGUCAAAAUUUUUGUACCUGCGCUGGGGAUGUAGCUCAGUGUUAGAAUGCUUGCCUAGCAUGGGCAAAGCCCUGGGUUUGAUCCCCAGAACCAUGAAAAAAAUGUUUUGUACCUAGAUAAACCUACUGGUGUAGGAAUAUGUUCAGUCAUUAAACUCUUGAACAAAUCUAAGAGUUACCUAUCACGGAUUGCUGUGGUUUUAUACAGUGCUUUGUUUUAUGUGUUGUCUUUCCAAAGUGCAGUAGUUAGGGUGAAUUCUCAGAAGUCAGAUGGCCUGGAAUGAAAUACCAACUUUAUCAUCUCCUAGUUAUGUGAUCUUGGGAAAGUUACUUGACCUCUCUUCAGUUUCCUUAGCUAUAAAAAUGGCAAUAAUAAUCCUUAGCUCAUGGUUUAAUAAUUAUAAAGCACUCAGAACAACUCUGAGUAUGUACUGAGGCCUCAAUAAAUUACAUCCUCCUCCUGCACCUCUUCCUCUUUGUCAUCAUAUCACCACAACUCACUUGUGCUUACGUGCGUAUUUCCAAUAGAGUUUUCCUCUGAGCUCUUAGUUGUGAUUCAUUAACAACCACAUAGGAGCAGGUUAGCUGACUAGGAAGCAGAAACUAUCUACAGAAAUAAUUCCUCUGGCUUAUUAUUUUCAAGGAGAGAAAAAAAGUACUUCACUUUUUAAAUUUUAGUACAUAUUGAAAAUGUUCCUACCAGGAAAUAUACAGUUCUUCCCUCCUCAUUUUGUCUUCUUAAAGUCUGAAUGAAAUUGAUUCCAUAUGUUUAUUAAAUCUUAAAGGGAAAUUGUAUGGUGUAAGUACUUCCUGAAAUUGAGUGUUUCCUUUGAUAAUUCUAUAUUUACUACAAGACCUCUGAAGAGUGAUUUUCUGGUUUGAUAAGAGAACUCAGCCUGUAUACACAGGCUACGGAAGUACAUUUCUGAGUGUGCCUCACAUGAGGUCCUCUGUUUCUUUUUCAAUGCAAUUAAAUUGUUUACCACAUAUAUAAAGUGAUAAGCAAAUAAAAUCAACAAUGGUACUUACUCCUUUAUUUUACAUUGUCCUCUUCUUUGAGGUCUUUGUGUGUAAGAAAAUCCACCUAGGUUUUGGGAUCACGGAGCUGUCAGUAUAGCUUGUAUUACUUUGUGCAAAUAACCUAACUUAAGUGGACUUCAGUUUUAUUACCUUGAAAUACUUCACAUCAGAAGACGCAAUAGGCUGAAUAAAGGCCUCUAAAAGAUAUUGAUGUCUUCAACCCUAGAACCUGUGAAUGUUAUCUUAUAUAGCAAGAAGGAGCUUUGCAGUUGUCAUGAAAUAUGAAUUUUGAGGUGGAUAGACUAUCCUGGAUUAUCUGGUUGGACUAACUGCCAUAGCAUAUAUCCUUACAAGAGGAAGACAAAAGGAGACUACAGCACAGAAGAGGAAUGCCAGAUUGGAGUGAUGUGGCCACAAGUCAAAGAAUGCUGGCAGCCACUGGCUGCCCAAAUAGAGCUCCCUGAAAUUUCUGGAGGGAGUAUAACACUGGUGAUAUCUCCAUUUCAGUUCAGUGAUGCAGACACAGAGAAAUAUAUAUAUGCAUAUCUUACAAUACAGACAGUCUCAGACUUACAGUGCUCCCAGGAAGUAGACAAGAGCAGCAGAGAAGAAGUGAAGAUAGUGGCUACUACAGUUAGGAGUAAACAGGAAAUGUGGAGGCCAAGAGCUAGAGGCUGUGCCAUAGUGUAAAUUGGGCUCUCACCUGGCAAUCUGUAACGGUUUCCUUGCAGCUCUCUCCACCCUCCUAACACCAUCCCUCUCAUGGCCCUCAGAGGCAUCUCCCUGGUGUGUCAAUCAGAUCGCACAGCAAAGCAUUUUUGUCUGUCCUCUUCCCUUUUGGGCAGUGACCCUAGGUCAUUGCUGUAUGCUGAGCCAAAGCUCAUGUUUAUCUCUCAAGGUGCCGAUAUCUCUCUUUUUAUUUUCAGGAUAGGUUCUGUAUGUUUUGACCUUGUACAUGUAAUAGUAUGUUGGGCAGAGAUUUUUCCAUCUUCUAGGAGAUUUUGUCCCUCAUUCAGGCAUCACACUGAAGGCAGGCUCUUUCUUCCCUUGCUAGGCCUGUGAGCAUAGCCUCUACCUCACAAUCUACUUUCAGAGAUUCUGUGCUUUAUUCAGGGUCCCUGCUCCUCUGUCUCCUGCCUUCACAGUAGGGAAAGGUGUGUCUUUUCCCACUGGGCUGUUAGAAUUCCUGGCCUGGGUCCCCUGAAGUCUGCAUUUAGAUAUGAGAUUUCUGGUUUCUCUCAGCACUUGGAUAUUAAUUUUUUCGACAUCCAGAAAAUUCCUUUUUUUCUUAUGAGUUCUUCCAUGUAUCAAAAUAUUUUUAUAUUUUAUGCAUUGUUUCUAUUGUGCCUCUUCAAAGAAGAGCAUUUAUCCAUGUUUGGCUGUCUAAGACACCCCAAGUUCUAUUGCCUCAGUGUUUUCAGUAUUGCAUUUAUGACACUGCACUCCCCAGAUUUGUUUUUGGAUCUGUCUCCCUGCAUGAGUACCUCUGGGCUGAUACCCUGGCUUAUCUUGCUUAUCUUAUCUUGCAGCACAUCCAUUAAGGUGCUCAGUAAAUCAUGAAAUGAGUAAGAGAGGGAUCACAUGUUAGACUCAUAGAAGUAAAAUGUCUUCCUUUUGAAUUUUUCUUUUCUUUCUUUCUUUUUUCAUUUUUUCCUUUUCUUUUUCUUUUUUUUUAAGCUACACCAAUGAAAAGAUGUACUAAGAUCAAAUCAGAUCAGUGAAGCUAGUUUUCAGGUACAUGCAACUAACACCUGACCAUAUAACUUAUCAAGUGUAACAGCUUAAAGAACUGCAAAAUAUCAAACACAAGUGUUCUCAGUACUCCAUUUUAAAUUUGUUUGCAGCUGAAGUCAGCCACACCUCCUUGCACAGAUCUUAAAAUAAUUCUUCACUCAAAAGUCACAGUAUCUCAGCAAUGAACAAAAACAUAAGAGAGCCCCAGGCCUGGAGCAACUGUUUGUUUUUCCAGGAAGAAAUUCAACUCUUUUUUUAAUGAACACAAAGCUUUUGAUAGGUUUGGGGUUUUAUUCAGCUGUUUUCUGAAUCUCUCAAAGCUCAUCUUAUGAAAUGUGAGCAAGACCUGAUCCUUCCCCUGCCUAGCCUGGACACUUCUUUCAGGUUACUGUUCCCCAACUCUGAGCAGAGAACACAGACCCGCUCAGAAAACAGAUAGCUGGUCUGACAGUUCUCACCGACCAGCAAGCUUCAACUCUCUCACUCUCACUGUGUUGUUUUGAAUCCUAGUAGUUGAGGUCUUCUUACUCAGAGCCUUCUCUGUGUUUUGGAAGCUGCACACAGCUCUCAAAGGCCCAGUCCCUGCCUGCUAGGACUUGAACUCUAAGGAGAUACAGGUUUAUAGACCAAAAGAAUUAUCUGUUCUUCAAACUUGGAAAAAAAUGCUCAUAGAAACAGUAGAGCCAGAGCCAUUUUUGGAGGUAAGUAAGCCUUUGACAACACUUUCAAUUUCUUCCCUAGCAACUUUUUCUAUUCGGGUAUUUUUUGUUUUUGUUUUUGUUUCAUCCUGAGUCAGUUUGGGUCAUUUAUAUUUUCCUAGAAAAUCAUCUGUUUCAUUGAUCUUUUCAAAUUUAUUAGCAUAGUGCUAUACAUAGUAUUUUUAUGAUACCCUCUUAUCUACCCUCUUAUCUACAG